rnacentral:lncRNA from 14 species
UGGAGAAGGAGCACACCCAGCAGGAAGCCCAUCACAGCAUCAAGCACAAAUAAUAAACACAGCACAGCUCCAUCCCUUGGUCUCUCACUGAGGAAAUUCCUGGCCUG